UAAGCCUGCGAAGGUGGCCUGUGAGGGUUGCUGGAGGUAUCAGAAGUGCGAAUGCUGACAUAAGUAACGAUAAAGCGGGUGAAAAGCCCGCUCGCCGGAAGACCAAGGGUUCCUGUCCAACGUUAAUCGGGGCAGGGUGAGUCGACCCCUAAGGCGAGGCCGAAAGGCGUAGUCGAUGGGAAACGGGUUAAUAUUCCCGUACUUGGUGUUACUGCGAAGGGGGGACGGAGAAGGCUAUGUUGGCCGGGCGACGGUUGUCCCGGUUUAAGCGUGUAGGUGUGUGUUCCAGGUAAAUCCGGUUCACUUUAACACUGAGGCGUGACGACGAGGCACUACGGUGCUGAAGCAACAAAUGCCCUGCUUCCAGGAAAAGCCUCUAAGCAUCAGGUAACAUCAAAUCGUACCCCAAACCGACACAGGUGGUCAGGUAGAGAAUACCAAGGCGCUUGAGAGAACUCGGGUGAAGGAACUAGGCAAAAUGGUGCCGUAACUUCGGGAGAAGGCACGCUGACA
rnacentral:rRNA from 1 species